UACGUAGGUGACAAGCGUUGUCCGGAUUUACUGGGCGUAAAGAGCGCGCAGGCGGUCGUCCAAGUCGAGUGUGAAAGCCCCCGGCUCAACUGGGGAGGGUCACUCGAUACUGAUCGACUCGAAGGCAGGAGAGGGAAGUGGAAUUCCCGGUGUAGUGGUGAAAUGCGUAGAUAUCGGGAGGAACACCAGUGGCGAAGGCGACUUCCUGGCCUGUUCUUGACGCUGAGGCGCGAAAGCUAGGGGAGCAAACGGG
rnacentral:rRNA from 1 species